UACGUAGGGUGCGAGCGUUGUCCGGAAUUAUUGGGCGUAAAGAGCUCGUAGGCGGUGUGUCACGUCGUUCGUGAAAACCUGCAGCUUAACUGUGGGCGUGCGGUCGAUACGGGCAUCACUGGAGUUCGGCAGGGGAGACUGGAAUUCCUGGUGUAGCGGUGAAAUGCGCAGAUAUCAGGAGGAACACCGGUGGCGAAGGCAGGUCUCUGGGCAUUAACUGACGCUGAGGAGCGAAAGCAUGGGGAGCGAACAGG
rnacentral:rRNA from 1 species